rnacentral:lncRNA from 1 species
CCAGAAUUGGAGGGGCACAAAGCAUAAAAACCAUAUGAACUAUGGGGACAUGAAAGUUUUCAUUCGCCCAUCAUGAUGUAAAAUACUAAUAACAUAUCAGUAAUCUAAUAUGUCAUGACAAUUGAAAUUUCUGUCCCAAAAAUGAGUUACUGAAAUGAAAGUCGAAUUAAACAUCAGAUACAUUUCAUAUAAAGCAAAAGUUAACAUCAACAUUCAUUCUAAGGUGAUUCCUCCAGAAUCCAAAGAGCGUCCGUUUGAUCGCAUACAUGACAUACGGAAAUGAAAAACCAACUUGUUCAAAAUAUGCACCAACCACAAAAUCACUAAUACCAUCAUCAUAACUAAAUAAAAAAUGAAUUGAUAAACGUGAUUGCACAUUCAGAAAGAAGAACACAGGUUUAUAUCUUCACAAAUUGGUAAGAACAUAAUAGAUUUGAUCAUGAAAUCACUGAAAAAAAGGUAUAGAUAAGAAUAAUGCUACUUUGUGGGAUGUGAGAUGUGAUUUCAGUUUUUGCCUAAAAAUGAAGGAAACGAAAUUUGGAAAUUUUGGCAAUAAUUGGGGGUGAAUUAAAGAGGCUUGUUUGGAGACAUAUAAGCUACCUAAAUUGAUCAUUCUUUUUUGGAGUCAAGUUGUUGUAAAUCGUUUUUACUAUAUAUAUUGUAGUACUUUUAGAAUAAAAAAUGAUGAUAUGUAAUUUUUGAAUAUAUAUUUAAAAGUAUGCAGUCCAUGUAAUUUCCACUAGAAGGAAUAAUGAAAAGUCCAAUUGUCCAAUUUUUUAUUUUUUUAUUUUUUUUUUAACGGGUAAUUGAUUCGGCUCAAGACGGGACGAUAUCACAAAUAUCAUACCCGCGCCCACCCUGAAUCGAGUCACUAAAAUCAAAUAUCAUAUCUAUCACAUUGCACCAUCGGUUCGAUUUUUUUCAUCCCAUUCGGUUCAAUUAAUCGCAGUUUUCGAUUUUCGCAGUUCGAAUUGCCAUCCCUAGACUAUCACUUGUAACAUUUAUGUUAUACCACUAUCGUCAUUGCAACCACCAUUGUAACAUUUGUUGUUACACCACCAUCACAAUUAGCCUCCCAUCCAUGCUAAUGACCACCACCACCGCAAUUACUGCCAUGAGUAGAUAUGUAGCACCAUAAAAAUCGAAAAUUACCAUCACUAGAAACACCACAUC